rnacentral:rRNA from 1 species
AUACGGAGGGUGCGAGCGUUAAUCGGAAUUACUGGGCGUAAAGCGCGCGUAGGCGGCUUAUUAAGUCAGAUGUGAAGUCCCCGGGCUCAACCUGGGAACUGCAUCUGAUACUGGUAAGCUAGAGUUUUGGAGAGGGAAGUAGAAUUUCAGGUGUAGCGGUGAAAUGCAUAGAGAUCUGAAGGAAUACCAGUGGCGAAGGCGACUUCCUGGCCAAAAACUGACGCUGAGGUGCGAAAGCGUGGGUAGCAAACGGGAUUAGAAACCCUAGUAGUCC